rnacentral:lncRNA from 1 species
AUGAGAGCUGGGGAAGAAGAAAGGACAAAGAAGGAGGUGUCGGGUAUAUGUAGUCUCCUAAUCACUAUACUAAAAAUAAGACAUGGCCAAACACAAGGCCACCCAAACUUUCACAAAACAUUCACAUCUCCUAGCCAAGCUCUCAUGUGCAACAAGCAAGAGGAAGCAGAAAACAGCCCAACCAAACUCUCAGUCUCUCUUAUGUCACCUCUGCUAGAACUGUCAACUAAAAACACCAUCCCCUGCUCCUCCUCUUUCUGUUGGUCUCAGAGGUGCACUUUGUAUACCCUGAAGCAGAAAGAGAUGCCUGAAGAAGUCACAAAGGUAUUAAGAAACAAAAUCCACUGGAAUCACGGGUCAGAGGAGGAUUAUUUCAUCAGUGCACAAGCUGCCUGUUCCAGUAACACACCCUUCAUCCAGCCAACUGUCUGAAGUUUUGUAGAAUGAACAAACUUUCUUUGAAAAAGAAAAGCAGAGAGAAAUCCUCCUUUCUCUCAUUCAUUCUAAAGGAGAAAAGUCUUGAAACUAGAAGAAGAGAAAAGAUAGAUUGUUGAGUUUAAUAGUAAUUAAACCUGAAAAUAAUUUUCCAAUCUCAGGAUAAACAUGAUUACUAAAGCAGCUGGGAAUUUUGAAGAAAUGGCACAUGAUAAAACUCUAG